GUUAAGAAUCACGAGUUCACGACCACCACGAGAGUCGCCGAGCUGUCGUACCGGGGAGCUCCGGUUGCUGAUGAUGUUGGCGGGGGAGAACAGAACCGAGCCACACCAGAUCUAUAGGGCACCACUCGUCGCAAGCCAGAUUGGCAUGCCGGAGCUAGACAUCCGCCGUGGUGCUUGGUCGCCGACGAGCACUGGGUUGGAGUCUUGGAGAAGGAUGGGGCUGUGAGCCCGUAACUCCGCCACUGUACGUGCCGUCUGAAGAGCCCUCUCAAGCAACGGAAGAGCCUGGCCCGAUGUCGACGGCACUUGCGAGCUAUGGAAGACAGGAGGAGCACGACGCCGUCGGCCCUCGCGACAUGGUGGAGGCAGAGUUACUGAAACAUCUAAAGGACACAGGACGGGAGGAGGGUGAGCCGGUGAGGUGACGCCAUCGGCUGCAAAUGGAGAUGAGCAGCUCACGUGCCGGCUUGCAGACAGGUGCUUCCCACCACUCGUUUAGGCUCUGGAACCUUCUCAUUGUUGCUUCUGGUUUCUUUGCUCAUGUUGUUGGUCAAUCAAUGCGUUGUGUUACUGUAGUGAUCCAUGUUUCAAAAUAGCUGUUUCAUCAAGAUAUGUAAGUCAGGAUCACCCAAACAAAAUUUGGUAGCUAAGAAUUUACAGGGGCAA